UCCUACAUCAAGUAGCGCAAUGGGUCAGUGUGUCUGGCUGUUAACCAGAAGGUUGGUGGUUUGAGCCCACCUAGGGUCAGAUGUGGGCA